AUAAGACAAGCAUUUCUAUAACAUUAUAAUUUUGAUCAUAAUUUUGAUCAUAAUUUGAUAAUAAUUGAUCACUGGAUUUCUCUCUGUGCCCAUGGCAGGAAAACUUACAUCAAUGAGUGCACAAGAUCCUUUUCAGUCUUGGAUGGGCCAUCGCUAUGCAUAGCACCCGGUUCUCCAUUCCAGCCCGUGAUGAUGGAUGCAUCCAGUUUUCCUUUGCUGCUAAGAUCCUUUAAGCACUUCCUCUCAAAUCUGUAAUUGCCCCUCAGUUCCUGACGUUUGAUAUGGGUGA
rnacentral:lncRNA from 1 species